ensembl:lncRNA
UUUUUUUCAAUCUAUAGUUUGAUCUGAUACUGUUUAUCAUUUUUCUUUCAAUAGAAAGAAUAGUGAAGUUCACUGCCUGAAUGUUGAAAUCUGAGGAGACAAAUAGACUGUCCGUUGAGGGUUCUCCUCUGGCAGUUCUGUCUGUGUUGUCUUUGUUCAGUGUGUUCUUGUUAGUGUUGUGUCUGACCACAUGGCUCUGUCUCUGUUUGUGUUUGCCAUGUGCUCCUCUUGUCCUGCCUCCUUGUUUCCCUUACCACGUCCCCUUGUUUAGUCCUUGUUGAGUGCUCUUUUAUCUGAGUGUUGUCAUAUGUUCUUCACGUCUCAGAUCCCUUUAUAUUGUGCUCCUUUUGCCUUUUGUGUUGCCAGUUCAUCUAACUAAAUACUGUGCAACUGUGUUCUUCCUUGUUGCAAUAGUCUGUAGUGUAUUGUUAAGCUAGUUCUACCUGUUUAUUCUAAUGUUGUUUUGUUCCUAUGUAUCCUUGCUCUAGUUAAGUAUCCCUUAGUGUUAUCUGCUUUAUCUUUAGUAUUUAGUUUCCCUUUUUCUUUCCUUAGUCAUUUGCCUUUAGACUUUCCCUUUUAACUAGUUCCUUUAGCUUUUCCCUGGCUUUAGUUUUAUGUUUUAAUUUAUGUUUUUUUAGUUAUUGUUUGGUUUUGGUUACCGCCUUCUGUCUUGUUGUGUCUUGUCCUGUGCGGUGGUGUGUCUUGUUUGUCUUUAGUCCUGUCCUGUGCUGCAGGCUGAGCUCCCGGGCUGCUCCCUGAAUCUGUAGCAGCAAGACCUGUGCCUGUGAGACCACGAGUGUGGAGUGGCUUGUGCUUCGAGUUCCUGUCAGGCCAUCGCUGCUAACCUCCGGCCUCCCUCUGCACUGCCACUACUGUUAUCCAGGGCUGGACUCAGCGGCUUCUCUCUCAGCAUAUCUGUCUUCGAGCCUCUUCCCAUCUUAUUGUUUGGACUGUAUUCACACCCUCCACACCUUCUCUUGUCGUGUCUUGUCAGCAGUAUUGUCAGUAAACCCGUGAUUACUCAUUCUGCAUUUAAAUCCUCUCUCACAGAAUCCCUGACACCUGUAGUUGGUAUUUAAAUCUUUCUGUCAUUCAUUACAAUAGGGACGUUCAGUCUGUGCAUUGAGGUAAAAUAAAACUCUGGUUAGAGUCAGAAUAAAAAUAAAAAAAGCACAGGGAUGGCAACUGCUUGGAUGUUGUGAGAGGAAAUUGGCUUCAGACGAUGGUAGUCUUGAAGUGUGAGGAACUACCCGAUCACCCUAACCAUCCAUUGUAUUAUCCACCAGCAAACCUUCUCUUUGAAAUGCUGUAAAUCAACCCUGAUCCUUCCAAAUCGUUUGACUGUAACAGGAAUGACUGGGAGAAGUCUGGGUCAAGCAGGAUGCAGCACCUUUCUCACGGUUAUGCUCCACUAAACCUCAUCGGACUAUCCUUUCUUGUCAGAUCUGUGAGAGGACAGGCUAAAAAUUGGCAUCCAGCCAACCUGAGGAAUACUCAUAAGUUUUGUUGUGCACCCUGGUUUGUUUGAUACCAGAAUUUGGUUCCGCUGAAUGAUGUGAACGCUGUUUUCUGAACUCAGGUGCGCAUAUGCAAAAUGUUCCUUGUUCCUGGAAUAGUCUACAUUAUGUUUUUUUCAGACCAACUGAAUCAUCAGUCCGAUUAAUAAUUUGAUUAUUAGGUUGAAUUUUAAAUGUAGACAGUGACAGGCCAAAUGCAUGAAGCUGGAAUUGAAAUGCCUUAUCUUUGAAGACGAAUUUCAGUGACAGUAUCUGUCUUUCAGAUUCUCUGUUACAAACCUCUAAAAGAAAUCACACUGUUUAUAGUUGUUUAUACAGUAAAAAAAAAAGCCAGUGAACAGAAUUUUUACAGAAUGUUUGUAUUAUGUAAUCACAUUUCUCUGUCACCUUAUUUCUAAAUGUGGUGUCAUGUUUUUCACCAUACAAGUUAAAUUUUUAGGUGACACUUUUGUACCAAUCAAAACAGGCCUGUAAAACUGUGCUGAAGGUUUCCGCUGGUAUUUUUUUAACAUUGAAGUCAUCAUCUGAAAGGUUUCCAUAGUUCUGUGGCAAGCCUGAUUAUUGUAUAAUUGUCACACACAUGGACAGUUUUGUUCCUGUUCCGCAUGUCAAUUUGGAUUCCCUUUGUUUUUUUGUUAUUAAAAGUCUGUUUUUGAGCAA